ACAAUUUUGUUCCUGUUCUUCCCCGUCUGAUGGAGUGCAAGGAUUCAAAAGCAGGUUAGGGACAGUUCAGGGACAGAGGAAAAUCAAGGGGGAGCUCAGAGUGAUGUUCCCUCAUCUUCAGAGGAAUCAGGCAGCCUCACCCCCUCUGUGCAGCCUCCAGCCAGCCUUCUGCAAACUUGGUCAGGGACUGCUUUUCAAACACCCCCAAUAUUACAGCAGCCCUUGUCCUUGCCCUUGUGGACCCCCACUAGGUUACUUAACUCCAUGAGAGAGAAUGUUUCUGAGACACCUCUGAUAUUACAAGCCUCAUUGAGAACUUAUCUGGUUCUACUGGUUGCUGGGGAACAUGAGAUGGUUUUACCCAUACCCUGUUUGCAACUUCAAAUUUGUUUAACUGGUAGUGCACUAUGCCUCACUUAUGAGACAAUCCUGAGGCAGUGGAAAGAAUGUUCUGCACAAUCUUUUUCACUCAUGUGCCCACUUGGGCAAAUGUAAAUCAGUUAUUAGAUACUCUCAUGACAAAAGAUGAAAGACAAAAAGUAAAAGAAAAAUCUGCAGCUCAUUUAAAUGCACCUUGGCUAAUUACUGACCCUAACUGGAAUCCCAAUAAUCCAGCUCAAAAGACAAAGUUGGAUGGAUUUUUAAAAGCUGUUUUGAAUGGUAUUAGAGAUGCAGGGGAGGCUACUCCAAAUUGGAGCAAGGGGACUGCUUGUGUCCAGCAUCCAGAUAAGCACCUCUCUGACUUUUGUGCUCGACUGAUUUGUGAAGUUAAAAAGCAUGGGAAUUUAAAUCCUGAAACUGAUCAUGAAAAGAAGAUGGUUAAAAUGGUUUUCAUGUCACAAUGUGCAAAGGAUAUUGCAAAAAAAUUUAGAAAGCAUCCAGAUGGUACGCAAGGGAAAAGUUUGUCUGAAGUAGUUAGCAUUGCUACUAGAAUGUUUAAUGGGAAAGAGAAAAAAAAAGAAAAAGACAUAAGAAACGGGUUAAUUUAAAAAUCAUCUCGGCCCCGGGAUGGAAGGAGGGGGGUGCUCUGCGUUCAGGGUCAGGAAUCGGCGCGGACUGUGCUUGGUGCAGGGAGGGGCUGCUUUCGGCCCCAGCUGGCUGUGAAGGAAAAAAUAUAGACAGAGGCGAAGCAAAAAAAAUACAAGUUACAGAACUAAAAUUACAUUUGCAAAGCUUAACUGUCCAGUAAGAUCCAACAGUGUGCCUUUGUGACCCUGGAGUCGGUGUGGCUUGGUGACACCAAAGAAGCCACAGGCAGCCGACCUGGACUGGAAUCUCUGAAAGAGACGCCGCAGGAGAUUCCAGGGUGUAAAAGAACAGCCCUCCCAAAAGCAGAAGCAUGUUGGAAAUUCUGGACAAGCUGUAUACAGGAUAAUCUCCCUUCCACCUCUCCCCCUCCUCUGAACAUUAUACACAGAAGUGGCCAGUCUGAACGUACGUGUAUAAUCAGAGAAAACUGAUGCCAGCUAAACAGCAUUCAACGUACCAUGCAUUUACUGGCACAAUAAAAAUUAUGUUUUGUGUUCUAUGUUCUGUCUUGUGGUGUUUGUCUUGUGGCCGGAAUUUUUGUGUUUAAUAUUUUUAUAAAAUAAUCUAGUUUAAAAUCAAACAAAAAGGUUAAAUUAAAAUGCAGAUACUUGUUUUGUUCAACUUGGAAUACAAAGUGUUUAGAUAAAUCAGGAGAAUGUAAUAUACUAAAGUCUAAUGCAUUUCCUUAAGUAAGGAAAAAAAACUUUAUUGGUCAAAUUGUUAAUUGCAAAAAUUGUUGUUAAAAUUUGCAUACCAACAGUCUUUGAAAGCAAGGACAUGAAAAGUUAACCUACUCCCCAUAUUGUACAUGGGAUCUUUCUGGCUACCUCAGAUUUCUAGCCAGAGGGCUGGGAAUGGUGGAAGGCUAUUGAACUAGAGGUUGUAUUGAGUGAACUCCUCAAAGUGGGUGUGCUUGUCCUGGCUUGUUGCUCGAAAGCUCUGUAAUAAGGUUAUUUUAGUAAAAGGGUGUGUGUGGCAUAUAUUGAAUAAUAAGACUAAUGUACUGUAUAAUGACAAUGUGUAGGUGUUCAUUGUUGGAAAAAAGGUGUAUAAGUAAAAAGUGAAAGUUUCCUUUGCAGGUUAAAAGAAGCCAAGAAGGGAAGAAGCACAAAGAACAGAAUGAAUUAACUAAAAAAAUAAAAUAAAAUAAAAUA